CAUCCGCCAGGUGGCGCGAGUGUCUUCGUGACGAAAAAUAUUUGCCAUUUGUUUUCCGCCUUUCCGGAGAAGCUGACAUGAAAGUGUUGUCUUCCAACUUGAUUGGUGUCGAUCUACAUUUUUAGCCAUUAAAUGUAAUUGGCAAUCUGGCAUAUAAUUUCACUUGGCCAAAUGUGAUGACGUGGGUCGAAAAUCGAAAUGUCGGACAUUUUUAGCUGUAGGCCUACGUCUCAUACUCUCAUCUCGUGCAGAAACACUUAGGAGCUAUUUAUUUUCAGCUCGGAAAUGGAGAUCCCUUUGCUCAACUGUUGAAGAAAUUUAGAACACGACAAAGUCUGAGCUUCAUGGCUGUAGUAUCAUUAAUGUGGUUUUAUUGCAGCCAGCUGGUGAAAGGUAUGAUUGAGUCAUGGUUGAGUUGCAGCAUCUGCAUGCAGUUUAUCGAGCUGGUGCUAUCCCAAGUGUAACUGCACAAAAACUUCUUGAAUUGUUGAUCGCUACAGAUUUAGUUAAUGACUAGAGAGUAGACCCCUCUGCUUCUCUGUUGCAAUUAUGAGUUAGGACCAUUAUGGAAAUGUGGAUUACAUUUGUUAUUUUCAAGUUGGAAAGCUUGACAACUACAAAUUCCUGUGUAAGAUUUAUCAAGCCAGGCGAAGUCUGCGCUUCUUUGUUGCAGUCUAAUGUGCGCAUGGAUUCGUUGCAGUCAUCCAGUGAAAGGUGUGAUUAAAUUGAGCUGUUGCAUGCAGUCUUUGGUGCUGAUGUUGUCCUGGAGUGUGGGAGAGUCCCAUGCUUCAAGUCUUCUGGGAUCAGCCAUAUCUGAGUUGAUGCUGGAUCAUGCUGCAUUUGGUUGCUGAAAUGUUGGAAAUCUAGUAGAACUGCAAGAAGACUCCUUGAAAUGGUUUACGUUUACGUAGCAGUGAUGUUGCUGUCCAAUAUGGCAUGUUGUUGCAGCCUAUACUGGUGAAAGAUUUUUUGCAUCGAGUUAUGCUGUCGCUGUUCCUUGGUGCCGGACUGCUGGUGUUGUGCAUAAAAGUUACAUCCAGUUUUAAUUGUUAUUUGUGUCUAUGCAGUUAACCGUUUAUGUGUUGAAAAGGGACAGAAAAGUUCCAUAGUGUUGAAUCGCUGGUGUUGUGCUACAUAAGUUACAUCCAGUAUUUUGUUUAAUUGCUAUUUGCGUCUAUGAAGUUAACCGUUUAUAUGUUGAGAAUGAAAAAAAUUGUAAUACGGGGAAUCUUUACGUUGAACAAAUAAUAAACAUGCCUUCGCGAUUGGGAAACCAGCGAGGAGGAGAUUGGAGGGAGGGGUAAUUGAUUUUCAUUAAUUAGAAAAAGUCGUGGUUUGUUUUAAUAAAGUAGAAAUAAAAUCCUUUGUCUAUCACAUCCAUAUUCCUAUCUACAUAACCACAUCUAUUCCUGAAACCCCAUAACUUCCACCAACAUCCAUUCCUUAAACCCAUAACUUCCACCAUCUUCUAUUCCUUAAACCCCCAUUUCCCCACAAAUAUCUGAAAUUUAUAAAUAUUAUUGUUGAAUAAAAAACCAUCUAUUGAAUAUG